CACGGAGACCCAGAAGCUCUUGGGCUUCAACUCCUACCCUUGUUUAGAUCACAGCAUAGACCACCAAGAACCAUCCUCUCCUCCAUUCAUGCUUACCCCUUUACUCAAAACUUUCUUAAGGACCUCCUGAACCAUGGACUUCUCAGGGCCAUACACUGACCCACAGAAUCAUAGAACUUAGCUAAGUGCUAGAAGGAUCUUAGAGACCAAAGCCUUCAUUUUACAAAUGAGUCAAGGUUAACCAAAGAGGUUAAGAAACUUGUCCCAAAUCACAUAGGGACUUAGCAGCAGAGCCAGGCUUCGAGCUAAUGUCACCUGAUUCCCAAAUCCAACUUUCCUUCCAAUAUACUGCAUUGACUCACUGGUCAGCUCUCUAAAUUACUUCAUCAUUGUGGUUUUCUGUGAGCAAGAAAAAGUUAUCAUCUGUCUUCAGAGGCUGAUUGACCCUGACAACAUUAUAUAUUUUUACAGAUCAGGAUUCUGAGGUUCAGAGGCUCCAUACUGUUCCCUGUCCAUCUUCAUGCUAAGCUCCUGAGGCCCAGACUUCACUUCUGACAGGACAUCUAACUGAAACCCUGGAAGCCUUUCCUUCUGAUCUGUGAAACUUUGUUACUGACCCACACUCCUUAUUAGAAAGUAAGGGGUUUUUUUGGUUGUUGUUGUUGUUUUUGAGGUCAAGGACUGUUGCUUUUUUUAAUCAUUUUUAUUUAUUUCAUUAAAUAUUUCCCAAUUACAUGUAGAUUUUUAAAAAAUGAUUCCCUAGUAUCAAUUUUUUUUGUCAUUUGUCUUUAAAGAGAUUUUUUUUAAUCUAGGCAAUAGCAGAAUAGUAGAG
rnacentral:lncRNA from 1 species